rnacentral:rRNA from 1 species
UAGGGAAUCUUCGGCAAUGGGACGAAAGUCUGGCCGAGCAACGCCGCGUGAGUGAAGAAGGUUUUCGGAUCGUAAAACUCUGUUGGUAGAGAAGAACGUUGGUGAGAGUGGAAAGCUCAUCAAGUGACGGUAACUACCCAGAAAGGGACGGCUAACUACGUGCCAC